UUCCGGACCCCAGUGUUUUCCGGACGCGUGAAAUAUUUCAAUUUUUAACUCGAUAAUUCAGCCUUCCCGCCAGCUCCACCCGAGGCGUAGGAGCGGACUGCGGAACGCGUUAGAUCAGUGAUAGUUAAAGACCUUCGCCAUCGCACAUUCGACAGUCCGACUUCUUCUUCUUCGGACUUUUGUAAUUAUCUUGUACUUAUAUACUUGUCAUUUUUACUCUAGAGUAUCCGCAGUAGGAAAUUUUAAAAUUUAUAUAACUAUUCUGACUCCUGUUGGUAGUAUGAUGAUGUAUUAUGCAAGAUAAUUAUGACUACUUUAUAUUUGGUUAAUUGUA